rnacentral:rRNA from 1 species
AGGAGAGAUGGUUUAAAGGGGUGCGAGAGCUUCUUUCUUGUACCUGCUCUAGGAUGGGACUGCGGCCGAUCAGGCUGUUGGUGGGGUAAUGGCCCACCAAACCUGUAACCGGUACGGGCCUUGAGAGAGGGGGCCCGGAGAUGGACACUGAGAGAAGGGUCCAGGUCCUACGGGGCGCAGCAGGCGCGAAACCUUCGCAAUGCGCGAAAGCGUGACGAGGUUAAUCCGAGUGGUCCCCGCUGAGGGGAUCUUUUCUUGGCUCUAAAACGGCCAGGGAAUAAGGGGAGGGCAAGUCUGGUGUCAGCCGCCGCGGUAAUACCAGCUCCUCGAGUGGUCGGGGCGAUUAUUGGGCCUAAAGCAUCCGUAGCCUGUUCCGUAGGUCUUCUGUUAAAUCCAACGGCUUAACCGUUGGCCUGCAGAAGAUACCGCGGGACUAGGAGGCGGGAGAGGUGGACGGUACUCCACGUGUAGGGGUAAAAUCCUUUGAUCCGUGGAAGACCACCAGUGGCGAAGGCGGUCCACCAGAACGCGCUCGACGGUGAGGGAUGAAAGCUGGGGGAGCGAACCGGAUUAGAUACCCGGGUAGUCCCAGCCGUAAACGAUGCGAGCUAGAUGAUCCAAUCGCAAAUCGCGAUUGGAGUGUCGCAGGGAAGCCGUUA